rnacentral:rRNA from 1 species
AGUGAACGCUGGCGGUAGGACUAACACAUGCAAGUCGAACGGAAGCACAGUAAGAGCUUGCUCUUACGGGUGGCGAGUGGCGGACGGGUGAGGAAUACAUCGGAAUCUACUUUUUCGUGGGGGAUAACGUAGGGAAACUUACGCUAAUACCGCAUACGACCUACGGGUGAAAGCAGGGGAUCUUCGGACCUUGCGCGAUUGAAUGAGCCGAUGUCGGAUUAGCUAGUUGGCGGGGUAAAGGCCCACCAAGGCGACGAUCCGUAGCUGGUCUGAGAGGAUGAUCAGCCACACUGGAACUGAGACACGGUCCAGACUCCUACGGGAGGCAGCAGUGGGGAUUAUUGGACAAUGGGCGCAAGCCUGAUCCAGCCAUACCGCGUGGGUGAAGAAGGCCUUCGGGUUGUAAAGCCCUUUUGUUGGGAAAGAAAAGCAGCAGGUUAAUACCCCGCUGUUCUGACGGUACCCAAAGAAUAAGCACCGGCUAACUUCGUG